CAAUCACCAGUUGCACAACAAUCAGUAUCCAUCGUGAUAUUUUAAACAGUCCAUAAAGCACUCAGGACGGCCCUGACAGAGAGGGGGCCGUAGUAGGGUGCUUCCAUAUCGGGCAUUAAUAUGAGAAUGACCCUUAAAUGCAUUUAGGACCAUAUUUUAAUUUUUGGGUUCCCAGGUGCACGUUUUCAAUCACCAGGUGCACGGAUGUAUAGGGUCCCCAUGGAUAAAAGGUCCGUAUUAGGGUGCUCCCAUAGCGGGCAUGACUUUUUGGAACACCGCUCAUGUAAUUUUAGGUUCCCAGGUGCACGUUUUCAAUCACCAGUUGCACGAAAAAAAUAAAAUAUUAAACCUUCCAUAAAUCACUCAGGGCGGGCCCCCAUUGAUAGAGGGCCGUAGUAGGGUGCUUCCAUAGCGGGCAUGGGUAUCUGGAACACCGUUAAGUCAUUUAGAACCGUAUUUUAACUUUUGGGUUACCAGGUGCCUAUUUUCAAUCACCAGGUGCACGGCUGUGAAAAGUGGGGACUCUGUCAUUUUUUCGACCGAUUUCUGAAAUUUUCAAAAAAUGAUUAAAAAUACUUCCCGAAGGGCCAGAGGUCCCCAAAAUUUCGUGUCAUACCCUCUCUCGUGAUGGGCAACAAUUCCAGCAUAUAAAAAAGAUUUCGCAUCCACAGGCACCUAUGUUUCUGGUAGAAUUCACUUUUUCCCAAAAACGUAAAUCACGAUUUUCUAUUAA
ensembl:lncRNA